rnacentral:pre_miRNA from 1 species
UACGGUUAGUUUUGCAGGUUUGCAUUUCAGCGUAUAUAUGUAUAUAUGGCUGUGCAAAUCCAUGCAAAACUGAUUGUGAU